AGAUAGAUAGAUAGAUAGAACACACGCGCUCUGAAAGCGCGUUCUCUCUCUCUGCUGUUCCUGAAAUUACCGUAUUUAUAGUAAUAUGCGCACACGCUUUUUUUUUUGGCGGCUGGCUUGACCGUGUAUUUUCAAACCGCGGCUGGCUUGACCGCAGUCUUUCACAUCAUAAGAAGAUGCUUCAAAUACAGCACUGAAGGAAGAACUGCACCUCAUUCUUGCAAGGCAGACAAGGACAGAAAAAGGCCAGGUGAUAAAUGCUGCUAUUCUUCUCUAAUACUGUUGCUCUUUAAAGAACAUGGUCAUCAAUCAGAAUCCUCCAUUCCCAGCUCCAACCAGUCAUCUGAAGGACUGCGGCGAUGGAAACCCUUUGAACCACAAGUGGCAGUUUCCACCGGAUGAGAAAGGACAUGGCAUGGGAAAAGGUUCGCCCACUGGACCGAGGAGGCAAGACGCAUGACUGAAGGGACAUUACGACCUCUUUACAGGAGUUUUCCAGGAUUAACACAUGACUUGCCACAACAUGUUGUUGCUGAGAGGAACCGAAUGUUGUCCAACCAGGCUAUGGUGGACUUAAUUGUGGCAAGAGGAACCGAUAACCACAUUCAGUCCAUCAUCAAUGGACAAAAAAAAUCAAAAUGGCUUGACACUUUUUCCAAGUGUUCCAUCAAGAAAGUGCCUGUGCUCAUGACUGCGAAUGUCACGAGCCAUAGCAGGCCACCAGAACCGUUGUUUGACCAAAAAACUGGUGCGAUUAACCCCUGGAUCGGAGCUGAUCUUCUGUCGGAGAACAUCUCCAAGAUGCUUCGCAUGCUACUAUGACUAGUAAGUCAAACCUCAAAUCACAGUCUGUGUUCUGCCCACUUAAUUGAUAGAAAUGUGAGUGUAGUACAGUCUAUAGAAACUGUGUCUAUUCCCCGAAUAGUGAGGUCUAACAAUAAAAAUAAAGGAUCUAGAAAAAAUCUGAUCGUGAUCAAACCAGAAAUUCGCAAAAUUACUGAACAAAAACAAUUUCUAAAGCUAGGGCUACUAAACAUUAGAUCACUGACACCUAAGGCGGUUAUUAUAAAUGAAAUGAUCACAGAUAAUAGUCUUGAUUUAAUUUGCCUUACUGAAACAUGGCUUAAACCAAAUGAUUAUUUUGGUCUUAAUGAGUCUUGUCCACCUGGCUACUGUUAUAAAAACAAAUGCCGUCCGAUUGGCCGUGGC